rnacentral:rRNA from 1 species
UGGGGGAUAUUGCACAAUGGGCGAAAGCCUGAUGCAGCGACGCCGCGUGGGGGAUGAAGGCCUUCGGGUUGUAAACUUCUUUUGCUCUGAACAAGGCAUGCCUUUGGGGAGUGUUGAGUGUAGGGGUUGAUUAGCGCCGGCUAACUACGUGCCAGCAGCCGCGGUAAUACGUAGGGCGCGAGCGUUGUCCGGAAUUAUUGGGCGUAAAGGGCUUGUAGGUGGCUGGUUGCGUCUGUCGUGAAAGCUCAUGGCUUAACUGUGGGUUUGCGGUGGGUACGGGCUGGCUUGAGUGCAGUAGGGGAGGCUGGAAUUCCUGGUGUAGCGGUGGAAUGCGCAGAUAUCAGGAGGAAUACCGGUGGCGAAGGCGGGUCUCUGGGCUGUUACUGACGCUGAGGAGCGAAAGCGUGGGGAGCGAACAGG